rnacentral:rRNA from 1 species
AUUGAACGCUGGCGGAAUGCUUUACACAUGCAAGUCGAACGGCAGCACGGACUUCGGUCUGGUGGCGAGUGGCGAACGGGUGAGUAAUAUAUCGGAACGUGCCCAGUCGUGGGGGAUAACGUAGCGAAAGCUACGCUAAUACCGCAUACGAUCUACGGAUGAAAGCGGGGGAUCGCAAGACCUCGCGCGAUUGGAGCGGCCGAUAUCAGAUUAGGUAGUUGGUGAGGUAAAGGCUCACCAAGCCGACGAUCUGUAGCUGGUCUGAGAGGACGACCAGCCACACGGGGACUGAGAUACGGCCCAGACUCCUACGGGAGGCAGCAGUGGGGAAUUUUGGACAAUGGACGCAAGUCUGAUCCAGCCAUUCCGCGUGCAGGACGAAGGCCUUCGGGUUGUAAACUGCUUUUGUACAGAACGAAAAGGUCUCUAUUAAUACUAGGGGCUCAUGACGGUACUGUAAGAAUAAGCACCGGCUAACUACGUGCCAGCCGCCGCCGUAA